rnacentral:lncRNA from 1 species
CAAAGCUAUUCCUUCAGAGUGUGGUACAUUUUUAAGCAAAAACCCGUAGAAUGCUAGGCCUGUGGCCUCCAGCUUUAAGGAUGGAUACAGGCUCUUAAAAUCAUAUGUUGACAUAAUUUCGUUUGGAUUAGGUGCCCUUGUCUGUAGUCUCUGUGCUACCUCAUAUGUGCUAUUGGCAGUGUACUUGUAGUUCUUUAGGAUUCCAUUGCACCAUUUGGCUAACUUCACCUCUAGGUUAUAUAUUGGUGCAUGUCUUUUAUCAACAAUCGGUCUGGUUUCUAUCAAGGUCUUAUAUACCUUCAUAUAUACAAACAUUCUUGAGCAUGACGCUGCUUUACUUUUUUGUGCUUGAAGAUAGCUGGAAAUUUUUUGUUUUUUACCAGGCAGUCUACCUUUGCCGCCAGUUUUCUUGUUGGGUUGGUGCAGAUCAUUUCAGCAUUUGAUUCCUUGAUGUAUUUGUAUAGGUAGUCAUCUCUUGCUUAUUCACGAUAACUAGUUUUUUAGUCUUAUCUUUCCUUGUUACCACAUAAUCAUUAGCUUUCAACCAAUUCAGUGUUUCAAUUAAGGGCAAUCUGCUGCUGCUACGAGGUUUUUGGUCCGGUUUAUUACUCUAGUUCUCUGCUCCAUCUUAACCUCUCUUUAGUUAUGUCAUCUAUUUUCUCUUAGGAGCAGUUCAAAAAUCUGAAUCUCAUCUAAUAUAUUAACCUUCAAAUCUAUUACAUUUGAUGGCCCUCUUUCAAGAGCACUUAUGGUUACAGUAAAGGCUUUGUCCUCUCAGUCGGGAAAGGAGUGGGGGCCUCUUUAAAGAAUUUGCGGGUUGCCCAGGGCCGAAAC